AAAAUAACAAUGUCUCAGAUAAAGAAAGCUUGUUUUUUUUUUCCGGGUAAACUGUGCACAAAGAACAAUUUUAGUGCAAACAUAAACCGAGUACGUGGUGGUUUAAAUAAUGAGAACAGAUUUUUGUUAAGUACGUUACAUAACUUUUUAGACAUAUUAGAUUGUGAAAAAGAAUAUAAAAAUGAUAUAGAAUACAAAAGACUAGAUGAAUUAAGCAAAUAUAUUGAAGUAGUUAAAAUAGAUAAUACACCUGUGAAUAGUUGUAAAUAUUAUAAUUAUAAUUAUGAAAAUGAGAAAAUAUUAUUUGACGAAAAUGAUAAUAUAAAAAGCGAUAUUUUUAAAAAAGAAGAAGAAAAACAUAUAUCAAAUAAAGAAGGGAAAGAGUGUUGUAUAAAAGAAUAUGUACAUAUUCCACCAUUUGUUUUAACAAAAAUAUGUGAAUAUGCAUUUAAAGAAAUUUUAUUUUUUUUAAACAAAAAGCAUUUAAAACAAUUAAAAAAUAUAUUAGAUGAUAAAGAAUCUAGUCCAAAUGAUAAAUAUGUUGCUAUGACGUUAAUAAAGAAUGCUGUCAUCAGCUCAGAACAGCAUUUACCUGGAUGUCAAGACACAGGCACAGCUAUAAUUUUAGGAAAAAAAGACGAAGAGAUUAUUACCACGUUUGACCAUAAAUAUUUAAACUUAGGUGUUUAUAAUGCUUACAAAAAUAACAAUUUUCGGUAUAGCCAAUUGUCACCUCUAGACAUGUUUAAUGAAAUAAACACAAAAAAUAAUUUACCAUGUCAGAUUGAAAUAUAUAACAACAUUAGAAAGGAUAAAUAUAUUCAAGAUAGCUGUAGCGAAUAUACAGAGAGUAGUAAUAGGAGUGGUGAUAGUAAGCAAAGUGUAAAAGAUAGUGAACGUACAAAACCAUCUUAUUUGGAGGGACCAAAAUAUGAAUUAAUUUUUAUUGCAAAAGGAGGCGGAAGUGCUAACAAAAGCUUUUUAUUUCAACAAACGAAAAGUAUAUUAAAUAAAGAUGUUUUAUACGAUUUUUUGAUUGAAAAGAUUAAAGAAAUUGGUACUUCAGCAUGUCCUCCGUAUCAUCUUGCUAUAGUUAUAGGUGGUCUAUCAGCUGAAAUGAAUUUAAAAACUGUUAAAUUAGCUUCAUGUAGGUAUUUAGAUAAUUUAAAAACUAGUGGUAAUAUAUAUGGUCAAGGGUUUCGUGAUAUAGCUAGUGAGCAAAUAUUAUUAGAAAAAGCACAAAAUUUAGGUAUAGGAGCACAAUUUGGUGGUAAAUAUUUUGUACAUGAUGUGCGUGUAAUACGUCUGCCUAGGCACUCUGCUUCAUGCCCUAUAGGUAUAGGUGUAUCAUGUUCUGCCGAUAGACAAAUAAAAUGUAUAAUUAAUAAAAAUGGAGUUUUUAUUGAAGAAUUAGAACAUAAUCCAAUACAAUAUUUACCCGAAAUAACAUUAAACGAUUUACCUAACAAAGAUGAAGGAGUUAAAAUUAAUUUAAAUGAUAGUAUGAGUAAUAUAAUAAAAAAAAUAUCAAACUAUCCAGUUUCGACAUUAUUGUUAUUAACAGGUAGAUUAGUGGUAGCUAGAGAUACUGCUCAUAAAAAAAUUGUUGAUAAUUUUGUUAAUAAAAAUAUACCUAUACCAGAAUAUUUAAAAAAAUAUCCUAUUUAUUAUGCAGGUCCAGCUAAAACACCAAACAAUUAUGUUAGUGGUUCUUUUGGACCAACUACAGCUGGUCGUAUGGAUGCAUACAUUGAAGUAUUAAUGGAAAAUAAUGCAUCAUUAAUAUCACUAGCAAAAGGAAAUAGAUCUUUUGUUGUAAGAAAUGCAUGUAAAAAAUAUAAAGGUUUUUAUUUAGGCAGUAUAGGUGGACCUGGAGCUAUAUUAGCCAAACAAAACAUAAAAAGUGUAAAUGUAAUUGAUUUUCAUGAUUUAGGAAUGGAAGCAGUACAUUUAAUAGAUGUUGAAGACUUUCCUGCUUUUAUUGUAAUAGAUGACAAAGGAAAUGAUUUUUACAACAAAUGGAUACCAUAAAAACUUUUUGGGUUUUUAAACCGUUAAAAUAAUAUUUUUUUUUUUUUUUUUUUUUUUUUUUUUUUUAAACGAUUGUAAUGGGUAAAUAUGACGUGACUGUUCAUUUAUAAAUGGGUUUCUAUAGGUAGUCUGUGCGUUACAUCUUCCAUUGCUUACUUAAACAUACUCAUUAUAAAAAAAAUUACG
rnacentral:lncRNA from 1 species